GUUUUCGACCCCAUAAAGUAUAUAUAUUCUUGAUCAGCAUCAAUAGCCGAGUCGAUAGAGCCAUGUCUGUCUGUCCGUCCGUCUGUCCAUCCGUCUUGUUGAGCGCCUGGAUCUCAGAGACCAUAAAAGGUAGAGCCACCAAAUUUUGCAUCCACACUUCUGUAUGCUCACACUGUUAUAAGUGCAUUUCAAUAAUGAGCCACGCCCCCCUCCGCCCCCGCAAAAGGGCGAAAACCUCCCAAAUCUACAGGUUUGAAGAUAAAAGACAACUAAAAACGCCAUUCCGUAGGAAAUGGCCAUAUCUAUCAGAUCACCAAAUUGGGAUCCGAUUGGAUCAUUAUUAUAGCCACAAUGAAGAAAUUAAUUUCCAGUGGCUAAAACCCACCCUGUCCAGCAGCUUUUGUUGUUCUUUUUACAUUCUCUCAUUCACACUCUGCUUCUGCUUCACUCGGCCCCUGCCUCUGCCCUCCCCCUGCCAAUGACUCUUCCGACUUUCAACCCACCCCGUCCCACAGCUUUUACUUGUUUGUUUUUUUUGUGCGGACGGUGAUCUGCCUCUGCCUCGAGUCUGUAGUGUGUGGGUCUAGGGAAGGGCGGCGAGCUUACAGAGCGUGUUGGUGUGAGAAGUGUUGUAGAUGUAGAUGCUGUCAUCUGUCAUGAAGAAAAAAUUUAAAAUUUGACAAAACACCGCUAAGGUGCAGAUGUAGUACUGAGUGCCGGGUAUAAAAGUUGUGACGCGUAAAAAGCGUCUCACACUUCCCUUCUCGUUUUUUUUGGCUUGCUUGAGGCGUUAAGGCGUCUUGACCCAAACACAUUGUGGGUUUAGCGUACGUUUUGAAAACUAUUAAGCUUUGAAGUUAUUUAUUGAGUUAGUUAUUAGUUUUUAGUUUUUAUUGUUAAUAUUAGUUAUUGAGUUAUUUUUUACGAAAUUUCCACUUUAAAAACUCAGGAAAAAUCUAAAAAAUUAAAUCCUGUGCUCUUAUGUUUUGUGUAUAGGUGCAUCAAUUCGGAGUCGUUUAAAGUACUGCUCAUCAAAAGCUUUGGAGAGUCGGCUGAUGGAUGCAUUUAUUAGCUUUAUAGAUUUACUUAGUUCAUUAAAACCAGAUGUAAGAUCUAUAAUUUAUGUGGAAAAGAAAAUGGCACCUCUAACAAAAGCGUGAAACAAAAAUACCAGAUUUUAAAAAUUGUUAAAAAAAUAUUCUACGAUAGAAAAAGAAAACAUAGUUCUUGAGUUCCUUGAGGUUUCGGGUAGUCGAAUACUAUCUAUUCGACCGGAAAAUUCCUAGAGUCUAUGCAUGCAAAGCAAUAAGCACGCAUUUUGAAUUGUUACCUCAGAUUGUCCGACGAGCUUGCACGAAUUGAAUAGAGCCCUGUACCCUUUGAGUAACAGGCAUAGUAUUCCGCCAUUCUAAGUUAGUAUUCAAAUCUAAAAACAAAACUAGUUGUAAUUAAGUCCUUUUUAUUCAUAUUUAAUAAUAUUUUUUUAAAUGUUAGCAAAACAAUGCAAAAAUUAUAAGAAACAUAUUUAUAAACUAUAAUGGUUUGGAUUUGUGCUAAUUUGAUAAAAAAGUGCCUGUUUGAUACAUUUAUUCGUGCUUGCAAAUGAUGCCUGCCAAGUAUUUACGCGUGUAGAGAUAUCUUCUUUCGAAUAUUUUAAUAUAUCCCAUACAUAAAUACAAGCAAUUGUAAUGUUAACAUCUCUGCAAACAGGAAUUAUAGUUACUUAAUAUUUAAAAAUUUUGCUUAUUUAAUUGAUUUUGGGAUGGGGUUUCAGCUUCUGCCGAUUAUUCUUUCACGAAGUUUAUGUCCAUCACAAAACAAUAGUUCAAGGGGCAAGUAUGGGCUGAUUUCUUGUAUGUUCAUAUGUAUGUAUGUAUGUAUGUAUGUACAUAUGUAUGUAUGUAUGUACAUAUGUAUGUAUGUAUGUACAUAUGUAUGUAUGUAUGUAUUGUUGUCUACUCGACAAAACAAAACUUUUUUUCCUCAAUGAACCAAAACGACUUUUCUGACAAUUUUACAAUUCGGGCAUUAACAUUUCUUAAAGAAAUAUGGGUUUCUUGUAUGGCAGAACUUUUUUUUACGAAUUUUGAAUGUUUUGUAUUUUUUUGAAGGUUUUUUGACAGGUAGUGGUUUUUUAUAUCCGGUACUCAAACGGUAAGCACAAAGUGAGUGUAUGUAACGCACAGAAGGAAACGUUUCCGACCCCACAAAGUAUAUAUAUUCUUGAUCAGCAUCACUAGCCGAGUCAAUAGAGCCAUCUCUGUCUGUCCGUCCGUCUGUCCAUCCGUCUUGCUGAGCGCCUGGAUCUCAGAGACCAUAAAAGGUAGAGCCACCAAAUUUUGCAUCCACACUUCUGUAUGCUCACACUGUUAUAAGUGCAUUUCAAAAAUGAGCCACGCCUACAAUUUUGAAGAUAAAAGAAUCUAUCAGAUCACCAAAUUGGGAUCCGAUCGGAUUAUUAUUAUAGCCACAAUGGAGAAAUUAAUUUCCAGUGGCUAAACCCACCCUGUCCCGCAGCUUUUGUUGCUCUUCUUACAUUCUCUCAUUCACACUCUGCUUCUGCUUCACUCGGCCCCUGCCUCUGCCCUCCCCCUGCCGAUGCCUCUUCCGACUUUUAACCUACCCCGUCCCGCAGCUUAUAUUUGUUUGUGCGGGCGCUGCCUCUGCCGCGAGUCUGCAGUGUGUGGGUCUAGGGAAGGGCGGCGAGCUACAGGAGCGUGUUGGUGUGAGAAGUGUUGUAGAUGUAGAUGACAGAUAUAGAAAAAAUGUAAAAUUUGACAAAUNUGCUUGCAAAUGAUGCCUGCCAAGUAUUUACGCGUGUAGAGAUAUCUUCUUUCGAAUAUUUUAAUAUAUCCCAUACAUAAAUACAAGCAAUUGUAAUGUUAACAUCUCUGCAAACAGCAAUUAUAGUUACUUAAUAUUUAAAAUUUUUCUUAUUUAAUUGAUUUUGGGAUGGGGUUUCAGCUUCUGCCGAUUAUUCUUUCACGAAGUUUAUGUCCAUCACAAGACAAGAGGUCAAGGGGCAAGUAGGGGCGGAUUUCUUGUAUGUUCAUAUGAAUGUAUGUAUGUAUGUACAUAUGGAUGUAUGUAUGUACAUAUGUAUGUAUGUAUGUACAUAU
rnacentral:lncRNA from 1 species